ACAGAAAAUGAGCACCCUUGAGUCACUGUUGAAAUAUGGGAAGAGUAUAAAGUCAAUGGUACUAAGGACUGCUCAAAUGAAGAGCAACCAUAGCAAUGCAGAUGAUUUCUAUGAUGAUAUCUGCACGUUUCAACGCAUGAAUAGCGAGAUUGUCCGAAUAGAAUAAAUCUUACAUGGUAUGACCAGCAAGUCGCUCUCUUAUGUACUUUACAGUAGUUGGUGAGACAAAAUUAAGUGAGACAAUUACCACACAAAAUGGUGACCUGCAGGCUGCAGCCAUGCUUGCCAUUCUCUUUAGGCUAGCAACCUCUUACUCCCAUUGCAUGCUUCGUUUUGUACCUUGAAUGGUGUGGAUGAUAGUAGGAGCUGCUGCACUUUUAUUCAGCUUAAAGAAGUUUAAUUUGGCUGUUACGCGUACGCUGUGUUUCACUGUCUCUGGUACCUGGUUCAGAUAUUGAUAUAUUCCCUUUGUGUCUCUAAUGUUAUUAUUCCUGGGAUGGAAGAUAGCAUGGAUUUCUUGACCUCCACUCUGCAUUAAAAAACUAUAGGUCCCAUUAUCUUUUCUUUAUUACAAUCUUUAAUCAAAUUACCUUUUGCUUUUUGAUAUGAAGCCCUUUCCAAGAAGCUUUCCAUUUGAAAACAUUUCCUUAUCCGAACCCCUUACUGUUUAAUGUCACGAGUCACUUAACUCUUCUAGUAGAGUGUGUGCAGCAGAACUUCGCUAGGAUUUCAAAUGGCAAUAUUUUGUUGAGAAUGCUACCAUGCACCUCAAAACACUCUAGCUAUCGCUAGAUUAAAGGUACCAGUAAAAAAGCAAAAGUGAAUGAAAAUGAGCUUCAGUUAAUAUUCUAAAUCCAGAAACUUAGGCUCCUGACACUUGCUACCAGAGUUCUUUAUAUUUAUUGAUUAGUCUUCAAAACAAUCAAUAGUUUUAGUAGUACAUGAAACUUAAUUUUGAAAGUGUAAUCUGUUGUUUUUUCUGCUGUUAGGGUGAUG
rnacentral:misc_RNA from 1 species